rnacentral:rRNA from 1 species
UACACAUGCAAGUCGAGGGGUAUAGUUCUUCGGAGCUAGAGACCGGCGCACGGGUGCGUAACGCGUAUGCAAUCUACCUUUUACAGAGGGAUAGCCCAGAGAAAUUAGGAUUAAUACCUCAUAGUAUGUGAGAAUCGCAUGGUUUUCACAUUAAAGUCACAACGGUAAAAGAUGAGCAUGCGUCCCAUUAGCUAGAUGGUAAGGUAACGGCUUACCAUGGCAACGAUGGGUAGGGGUCCUGAGAGGGAGAUCCCCCACACUGGUACUGAGACACGGACCAGACUCCUACGGGAGGCAGCAGUGAGGAAUAUUGGACAAUGGGCGCAAGCCUGAUCCAGCCAUGCCGCGUGCAGGAUGACGGUCCUAUGGAUUGUAAACUGCUUUUGUACAGGAAGAAACACUCCCUCGUGAGGGAGCUUGACGGUACUGUAAGAAUAAGGAUCGGCUAACUCCGUGCCAGCAGCCGCGGUAAUACGGAGGAUCCAAGCGUUAUCCGGAAUCAUUGGGUUUAAAGGGUCCGUAGGCGGUUUAAUAAGUCAGUGGUGAAAGCCCAUCGCUCAACGGUGGAACGGCCAUUGAUACUGUUAAACUUGAAUUAUUAGGAAGUAACUAGAAUAUGUAGUGUAGCGGUGAAAUGCUUAGAGAUUACAUGGAAUACCAAUUGCGAAGGCAGGUUACUACUAAUGGAUUGACGCUGAUGGACGAAAGCGUGGGUAGCGAACAGGAUUAGAUACCCUGGUAGUCCACGCCGUAAACGAUGGAUACUAGCUGUUGGGAGCAAUCUCAGUGGCUAAGCGAAAGUGAUAAGUAUCCCACCUGGGGAGUACGUUCGCAAGAAUGAAACUCAUAGGAAUUGACAGGGGCCCGCACAAGCGGUGGAGCAUGUGGUUUAAUUCGAUGAUACGCGAGGAACCUU